AAAAUAAGCCGUGUGGGUCUAGAAUUGCAAAGCAAACAAGUGGUUCAAAUUAAUGUGAAAGUGAAAACAUGAAUACAGCAAUUGGAAGCCACAUCCUUUCUCAAAUUCUUGAUUCUCCACUCCCCGUUCCAUUUCGAUCCCUCCGAUUAUCCUCAAAGAUUAUGACGAGCGUAACGUUUGGCCACCAGAGUAAUUGGUCGCCCGGGAUUGGGAUUCAAGAGCAUCUAGGUAGAACAAAGAUUUCUCGGGUGGAUUGUUGUCCAUUUCUUCCUUCCACCCACCAUGGGAAUCAUGUUGCUUACUGUCGCCGGAGAACUGGACGGCAACUCAGACCUGUUUUUGCCGGUUCCAUCGACGGUGCCAUGGAUCCCGAUGACCCCGAUCAUCGGAUUAAUGACAGUGAGAGUCCUAAAACAGAAAAUGAAGGGAUGAACUUCGAAAUGCUUAGGGAGAACUUGGAGAGAUCGGUUGGAACAGAUGAUUCCAGAUUUAGUGGGAUUGAUCUGGCUACUCUUAUCAGAAACAAGUAUGGCAAGUCUUAUGAUGUUCAACUAAUAAAGAAGGAGUUCAUGGGACGGAAUCUUCUUGCUUUAAAUGUCAUGUGGAAAUACAGAGAGCAGGAAAAUGAGCACUUCACAGAGCAUCACUGCCCUAAAAAUUUGGGAGAUCAUUUCACAUUUUAAAUCUUAGAUAAUUGUCAAUUUCGUAGAAAUCAUUUCCAUUGUCUGAGGAAGAGUAUCUAUUGCGGCUUGACGGUGUGGCUAAUACAUUAAAAUGCUGGGGAGCCGUUGCCCACAUUCGAAACAGCUUAGACAAAACUAAAGAUAGGCCUCGGAUAGGAAAGGCAGUCAGUAUUUUUAUCGACAUGGACGAGUCUGGUGGUCGUGCCAAUGAGUGGAUAUACAAGUAGAUUACUUACACGAACAAAAUUUAAAUGUAUAUUUCUUAUAUAUUUUUUUGUAUAGGUAAAAAAUCUAAUAAAAACACAUUUUAUUUAUGGGUUAGUUGCAUAAAUGAAAAAAUGAUAGCAUAUCUAGUGCACGGAUAAAGUAAUUGCAUAUACAACACAACAAGAAUGAGUAAAAUACUAAAGUACUCAAGUGCAACCA